AAUGAACGUUGGCGGCGUGGAUUAGGCAUGCAAGUCGAGCGGACGGAGGAGCUUGCUCCAAAGUUAGCGGCGGAAGGGAUAGUAACGCGUAGAUAACCAACCCCUCGGUCAGGGAUAGCCGUUGGAAACGACGGGUAAUACCUGAUAACAUCCCCGGAUCAAAGGUGAGAUUCCGCCGGGGGACGGGUCUGCGUCCUACUAGCUAGUUGGUGAGGUAACGGCUCACCAAGGCGACGAUGGGUACCGGGCGUCAGAGCGUGACCCGGAUCACUGGGACUGAGACACUGCCCAGACACCUACGGGUGGCUGCAGUCGAGAAUCUUCGGCAAUGGACGAAAGUCUGACCGAGCGACGCCGCGUGAGCGAUGAAGGCCUUCGGGUUGUAAAGCUCUGUAAGUUGGGAGGAAGUGCAUGGGGGCAAUCCCCUGUGCUUGACCUAUCUUCAAAGUAAGGACGGGCUAAGUUCGUGCCAGCCGCCGCAGUAAAAC
rnacentral:rRNA from 1 species